GUGGAGCCAACCUUGAAAUACCACCCUUUAAUGUUUGAUGUUCUAACGUUGGCCCCUGACCGGGGUUGCGGACAGUGUCUGGUGGGUAGUUUGACUGGGGCGGUCUCCUCCCAAAGCGUAACGGAGGAGCACGAAGGUUAGCUAAUCCUGGUCGGACAUCAGGAGGUUAGUGCAAUGGCAUAAGCUAGCUUGACUGCGAGCGUGACGGCGCGAGCAGGUGCGAAAGCAGGUCAUAGUGAUCCGGUGGUUCUGAAUGGAAGGGCCAUCGCUCAACGGAUAAAAGGUACUCCGGGGAUAACAGGCUGAUACCGCCCAAGAGUUCAUAUCGACGGCGGUGUUUGGCACCUCGAUGUCGGCUCAUCACAUCCUGGGGCUGAAGUAGGUCCCAAGGGUAUGGCUGUUCGCCAUUUAAAGUGGUACGCGAGCUGGGUUUAGAACGUCGUGAGACAGUUCGGUCCCUAUCUGCCGUGGGCGCUGGAGAAUUGAGGGGGGCUGCUCCUAGUACGAGAGGACCGGAGUGGACGCAUCACUGGUGUUCGGGUUGUCAUGCCAAUGGCACUGCCCGGUAGCUAAAUGCGGAAGAGAUAAGUGCUGAAAGCAUCUAAGCACGAAACUUGCCCCGAGAUGAGUUCUCCCUGAGACUAUAAGUCUCCUGAAGGAACGUUAAGACGAUGACGUUGAUAGGCCGGGUGUGUAAGCGCAGCGAUGCGUUGAGCUAACCGGUACUAAUGAACCGUGAGGCUUAACCUU
rnacentral:rRNA from 1 species